rnacentral:tmRNA from 1 species
GGGGGCGACCGGUUUCGACGGGGUAAGAUAAUGAUAAGAUUGCAUGCAGAGGUUCGGGAUCCUCUUUAAUAUCCCCGAAAUAUCAAUAAAUGCCGAUUACGGCUACAUGGCAGCUGCUUAAUUAGCUCUGCCCGCUCUGGAUUAAGUUUGUCUGUGGUUUAAUCUAAGAGCGUCAUAAACGCAGACUGGUCCCUGGAUUUGUUUACUAGAAAGGGAUAAGAUGUUNUGUAAACUGGUUGAUAUAUGGGUUGUUAUUUGUCCGCUAUAUCAAUGAGAAUAAAUCAGAUGACUAUGUAUGUAGACGUUUUGUUAGAAUCUAUCUCGGACGGGAGUUCGAAUCUCCCCGCCUCCACAU